UGCAGACUGGGGGAUAUUAUUUUUCACUUUCUCUGCUACUGGGCAUCCCACGCCUUUUAUAAAUAUUUAUAGGACAAUUUCUUUCUUGAAAGUACCCAAGUGUGGGGGAUGGUGAGGAGGAUGGUUGAACAGAGAAAGUAAGGAAGAAGUGGUGCUCAUGUGUAUGAAGAUUAGAAGGUGGAGGAAAGCCCCCAGGGGCUUGUUUUAGGCCAGUUUCCUCACCUGCAAGAAGAGGAGUUGGACUAGAUUGGAGAUGUCAAGCCUGGGGUCUGUGGUUUAAAUUAGCAACUCCCUGCAGCUGUAAGCAAUGUGUGGUCGGUGUGUAAAUUUUUCUAGGGUGAGAGCCCAUAGAUUUCAAUGGAUUCUCAUAGAGUCCAUGAUUUACAAAAGGUUAAUCAGCACCUUUCAACCAGGAUCAUCUUCUAGCCCCUCCCAGAGUGAAUAUUUAGAGUGCAAGUCUUCUAGAAGUAGCAGACAUUAAGCUCAGGUCAUAGGAUUCGGAGGGACAGGGCAGCCACUUAGAAUCAUUUUCUAGCAGAGGCGAAAGGGGGUCAGCUCUCCGCAACCUCAUUUUACAGAGGGAAAGCUGAGCUACAGUCAAUUCAAGCGACUCCCCUAAACCACAGGUUUAGAAGAUAAGCCCGGACUAGACAGGCCUGGCACACAGAACACUGGUCUGCACCGAGCGAAAAGCCCCCUUCAAUCAGGCUGUCGCCUGGGAAGGGCAAGACAUCUGUGGCCACAGCGCCAGGAGCCCAGCUGGUUAUUUCUAGCUUGCUGAAUGUCAAAAAUCCAGGCCGCUUCUCACAGCAGCCUCCACUUGUCAGACCAAAUCAAGGCAUCCACGCGUCAGGCAGGCGAAUCAGCUGCCUCCAGCUCCGGCCGCGCUGAGCCUGCCCCGCCCGCGCGGUGCACCUGACCUUGUCGGAGCGCAGCCGGCCGGCACGCCCCGCCCCCGCCCCCCUGGCGCCUGCUCCCACCUGCAGCCCCCGCGUCACGCCUGGGCGGCCAUCGCGGUUUCUCAGCUUGGGGCCAGCUUGGCCGCAUGCCUUGGCCCAGUGUGGCCACGGAAGACGGUCUCCCACGGCCUUUGACCCCAGCGAGGGAUUGGGCAGAACCCUCUGGCUGCUCUCUGGUCUGUUUUGGAAUCUCCCACCUUCACUUGCUUUUCUUCUCAACACACCGCCCAACCCUGAGCCCAGUUCCUCUCUAGGGCCAAAUCAGUGCGCUUGUUGGUGUCUGCAGAAUCCAGUUUCACAGCAAAUGCAAGCAGUCCUGAGUGUCUGCUCUUGGUUUCUCGUCCCCACUUCCCUUCAUUGAACAAAUGUUGGAGCAUCUGCUGGCUAGGCGUUGGACACAGCAGGCUGGCCUCGACCCUCAGGGAGCUGACAGUCUUCUGGGGGAAGAGAAGGAAGAUGGUUCUGAUCACCUUGGGAUUCAUCUUCUUGGAAUCAGCGGUCAGGACACAACAGCCUCUUCUCUCACCAUGAUCAGACCCUGUGGUCUGGCCCACGUGCUAGCUUUCCCUUCUCCCUCCACUCGUGUACAUCCCCUCCGUUUCGGCCGUACACCCAUCUCUCCUACCAGGAGCUGAGUCACUCUGGGUGGGAGAGUGAGAAAAAGAAGAGAAAACUUAAUACCUGAUCAUGUCCAGAGAGGGGGGAAGGAGAACACCACUUAACAGUAGCAGAGUCUCAUAAAUGCCAAGCAUGUGAACUGGUCAUGGGGGUUUGCACUUCUUCCAGUUACUUCCCAGAAAUGCUUAUGAUUUAAAAUGACAGGCAUCAAAAGCAUCAAACCUAGACAAGUGGGUGAAAAGCGAUUUCCACCUGGACAAAGUCACUGCACCCCUGUGCAGAGGCAGGUGCCCUGAUCCUUGCCUGAAAGCUGGAGGUGGCUCAAAAGAGGCAGGGAGGAGGGGGUCACUUGGUGUCUCCCUGAGCGGAAGUGAGCCGUCUGGCUCCUGCUUAAAAACCUAUGUGUGAUUGUGUGAUGUUCAAGGCCUGACCUGUAGGCAGUUACAGAGGCUUCGCCUGGCGGGCCCGGGGAAGGCGCCCUGCACUCAGCAGCCUUCGGGCACAGCCCACGGAUGGCAUCUGGAGGGAGGUGCAGUCACUGCCCUGGGGCCCCCUCGCUGGUCGUGCGCUUCGCACGCCUGCAUUCCUCGCUGGGAGGCACCUGCAUUCCUGUCUCUGUCUGAGGCUCAGGCAGUGGCCCUCUUCAGGUGCCCAUCUCCGCUGAGGCCUCCUUCGAGGGUGAGUGCGGGUAGGGGAGGAAGCCAUGAAGACACUCUCCCCACCGUCUCGGUCCCUGGGACUUUUCCACUCUGAGCCCUUCCCCCUUCCCUCUCCUCCCACCUCGGGGGCCCUAAAACUGCCUUUUCUUCAGGGGCUUCCUCAAGAGCAAGACAACCCUCACAUCUACAACUGAUCCAUCUGCCCCUGACUCGUAUGCAGUUCCAUGGGGGAAAAUGGAACAGGGGAUGGGCAGCUUCUCUGAUUUUAGACUCUUAUUUGUACCAUCGCAGCGAGUGAUUAAAGGCUUGUUGCUUUAAUUGGCUACUCCGA